GUAAUAUAGAGGUGGCGGCGGUGGGUAGAUUGGAUGGAUAUGGCGGAGUCAUUAUCGGCGCCGUUAAAGGACAACAAGCUGUUCAAAGGAGUUUUUGCUGUGGGCGGAAUCAUGUCUACUCUCGUCAUCUACGGAAUAUUACAGGAAAAGAUCAUGAGAGUUCCUUAUGGACCAAACAAAGACUAUUUUAUAUACUCAUUAUUUCUUGUCUUCUGCAAUCGGAUUACCACCUCUGCCGUCUCUG
rnacentral:misc_RNA from 1 species